rnacentral:rRNA from 1 species
UACAGAGGGGGCAAGCGUUAUUCGGAAUUAUUGGGCGUAAAGGGCGCGUAGGCGGCCUGGCAAGUGGAAGGUGAAAUCCCUCGGCUUAACCGAGGAACUGCCCUCCAAACUGCUUGGCUUGAGUCCGGGAGAGGUGAGUGGAAUUCCCAGUGUAGCGGUGAAAUGCGUAGAUAUUGGGAGGAGCACCAGUGGCGAAGGCGGCUCACUGGACCGGAACUGACGCUGAGGCGCGAAAGCGUGGGGAGCAAACGGG